rnacentral:rRNA from 1 species
UACGUGAGGGGCGAACGUUGUUCGGUGUCACUGGGCUUAAAGGGUGCGUAGGUGGUUGCGUAAGUAAGGUGUGAAAGCCCUCGGCUUACCCGGGGAAUUGCGCCUUAUACUGCGUGGCUUGAGGAUUUCAGGGGAAUGGGGAACUCCAGGUGUAGCGGUGAAAUGCGCAGAUAUCUGGGGGAAGGCCGGCGGCGAAGGCGCCAUUCUGGGAAAUUCCUGACACUGAGGCACGAAAGCGUGGGGAGCAAACAGG